AGCCAUGUGGCAGCCUCAGAAGUCUUUCAGAACCUGUUCUGGUUCUGAGGAUUGCCCGACGCACAAACAGUUCUUUGCCCGAUUAAAUGCUGUUACCUUUAAUUUGUCUAAAGCUUUUCUUUUUACAGAUGUUUAUAAGAUAGAUGUUCAUAAGCAAGAGAAUGUAACUCUAUUUGCCUUUAAAUACUUGUUAUGAAGAAGUUAUAUUUGGAAAGUUCCAAGAAAGCUGCAAUCACUUACUGUUGCCGGAAACUGCCUUGUGGCCUGGCAUCCUGGGAAUUUGCUUGGCUUUUUGUGGCUGCCAUCCAAAACUGGGAACCACAAGUCAAAGAUGCUGAGAAAUGCCAUCAAUCCAGAAGAGAAAUGUAGCCACGUGAUGCCUCACUCACCAGAUGGGAAUUCAGGGUGACCUCGUCUGAUUACCAGCCUCGACUUAUGAAAUACAGCCAAUGAUGAAAUUCAUGGCAGGCAAAUUCCCUGUUCAAGGUGGGGCAAUAGCAUGAUGGAUGGGCCAGCAGUGAUGGAUAGCUCCUCUGAAUUUUGGUUCGUGGGUUUCCUCCAGCAAGGACUGAGUUGUUCCAGAGAUAACACUCUUCCAGGGUCUGGGCUCUGGGCUGAAUGUUUGCUUAGGGAUAACACCCUCAUUACUCAGUAAAGCAAAUUAUUAUUGACAAUGUAAAA